rnacentral:lncRNA from 1 species
CUUAAUUGAUCGUUCCUAUUUAAGAGUUUAGAAUUUGAAGAUAAUGUUCAAUAAAAUUGUCAAUCUCGAAAAUAUACUUUCUAUAAGUUUCAGCAUAUUUUCAUAAGACUCAAGGUUUGAGAUAAGACAACCUUUAUAGAACUCAACUCAAGGCAAGCAAUGGCAACACAAGGAGGUUUAUCAAAAUCAAUCCAUAAAACAUUCAAGAUAUUCAUCAAAUGGAUGUAACCUUUUGCAUUUAGAUUGAAUAUCUAAAGCUCCCCCUCAAAA